UACAGAGGUCUCAAGCGUUGUUCGGAUUCAUUGGGCGUAAAGGGUGCGUAGGCGGCGCGGUAAGUCCCGUGUGAAAUCCCUCGGCUCAACUGAGGAAUGGCACGGGAAACUGACGGGCUUGAGUUCGGGAGAGGGAAGCGGAAUUCCGGGUGUAGCGGUGAAAUGCGUAGAUAUCCGGAGGAACACCGGUGGCGAAGGCGGCUUCCUGGACCGACACUGACGCUGAGGCGCGAAAGCUAGGGGAGCAAACGGG
rnacentral:rRNA from 1 species